rnacentral:rRNA from 1 species
GACGAACGCUGGCGGCGCGCUUAACACAUGCAAGUCGAACGGAAAGGCCUGCUUUCCCUUGUGGGUUGCGGGUACUCGAGUGGCGAACGGGUGAGUAACACGUGAGUGAUCUGCCCCCAACUUGGGUAUAAGCCUGGGAAACUGGGUCUAAUUCCCGAUAGGACCGCAGGGUGGGUCCUGUGGUGGAAGACGAUUUUCUAGUGGUCGGGGAUGAGCUGGCGGCGUAUCAGCUUGUUGGUGGGGUAAUGGCCUACGAAGGCGGGGACGGGUAGCCGGCCUGGGAUGGUGGACGUGAGAGGUGGGCCUGCGAUACGGGCCAGACUCCUAGGGGCGGCAGCAGUGGGGAAGAAGAAGCGGGGGACGGAAGACUGAGGGAGCGAGGCCGCGUGAGGAAUGACGGGCUUGGGAUUGUGGACUCCUUGCGGCCGCGAGGAAGCCACCUGGUUGGAGGGGUGGUGACGGUAGUGGGAAAAGAAGCACCGGCUAACUACGUG